CUGGAAGGGGUGUAUUUAUUAGAUAAAAAUCAACACUGUUGGUGAAUCAUGAUAACUUCUCGGAUCGCAUGGCCUCGUGCUGGCGAUACUUCAUUCAAAUAUCUGCCCUAUCAACUGUCGAUGGUAGGAUAGAGGCCUACCAUGGUUGCAACGGGUAACGGGGAAUAAGGGUUCGAUUCCGGAGAGGGAGCCUGAGAAACGGCUACCACAUCCAAGGAAGGCAGCAGGCGCGCAAAUUACCCAAUCCCGACACGGGGAGGUAGUGACAAUAUGUAACAAUAUACGGCUUUAUCGUCGUAUAAUUGGAAUGAGUACAAUUUAAAUCCCUUAACGAGGAACAAUUGGAGGGCAAGUCUGGUGCCAGCAGCCGCGGUAAUUCCAGCUCCAAUAGCGUAUAUUAAAGUUGUUGCAGUUAAAAAGCUCGUAGUUGGACCUUGGGCCUGGACGGGCGGUCCGCCUCACGGCGUGUACUGUCUUGCCGGGCCUUUCCUCUUGGUGAUCUGUUGUUUCGGCAGCAGGGAACCAGGACCUUUACUUUGAAAAAAUUAGAGUGUUCAAAGCAGGCUCGACGCCGGA
rnacentral:rRNA from 1 species